GCGCCGUCGAUAGAGUAAUCGGACGGCUAGGUAGUACCACAUGCCUUCUCGUCACAAAUCGACUAGGGCGUCUGAGACUCUGAGACACAGGAACAGAACCCUCUCUGCGCCGCCGCCGCCGUUGCAGUCGCGGCCACAUCGUCGCCUAUCCAUCCCCACCGCUCCCACUGCCACGAUUCACAAGAGGUGUCGAGAUGUCUCAGAACAACCCCUCCCAGCUCCUCCCCUCAGAGCUGAUCGAUCGGUGCAUCGGGUCCAAGAUCUGGGUGAUCAUGAAGGGGGACAAGGAGCUCGUUGGCACCCUCUGCGGCUUUGAUGUCUACGUCAAUAUGGUGCUGGAGGACGUCACCGAGUAUGAAUACACUGCUGAAGGGCGCCGCAUUACAAAACUUGACCAGAUCCUCCUAAACGGCAACAACAUAGCCAUUUUGGUUCCUGGUGGUUCACCACCCGAUGUGUAAUGAGCUUUUGCUCCCCAGAGUAACCAUUCGAGGCGAAGGCAUCUCCAUGGACUUUGCACGUUAUUUUGGCAUGGAAGCUGCCUUCUGUAUCGAACUUACUGACCUGAAGUAGUGUGCUUGCAUAGCUGUGGUUAUAUGAUUGGCUAUGCUAAUUCUGUGUAUGUCUGCUCGCCAUCAUUGUACUGCAAUGUGAAUUCCAGGUAAUGGAUUAUGCAGUAACCUGAUAACUGGAAGUGCAUCGGUUGCAUUUGGCGUUCGCUUGUCAGCAUUACUGAUUUAAGAAAUCCCAUUUCUAUUC